CAAUGGAGGUGCAAUGGCCAUUGGUCAUCCUUUGGGUGCUACAGGUGCACGGUGUGUUGCAACGCUGUUGCAUGAGAUGAAGCGCCGUGGGAAAGACUGCCGCUUUGGUGUAGUGUCCAUGUGCAUAGGCACUGGAAUGGGUGCUGCUGCAGUCUUUGAAAGAGGAGACUCCUGCGAUGAGCUACGCAACGCCCGUAAAAUUGACAGCCACAACCACCUUCUAUCUAAAGAUGCUCUUUAAAGAGAGGAAGGCAUACACAAUAGUUUCAUUGAAUAAUAUUUACAAAGAAAAAAAUAAGUGUAGUUCUUUAAGAAAUUUCUUGGAAGAGAUCAUUUUCUAGAAUUGCACUAACUUGGUCUCUCUCUGUUGAAUUUUUACUAUAAGAACAGUUGUGUUCCUUUCAUUUGGUUUUAAGAUAAUAAAAAAACAGCUUCCUUAUGCAGAUUAGUACAUGUUAAGGCGAUCGG
rnacentral:misc_RNA from 1 species